AUUGAACGCUGGCGGCAUGCCUUACACAUGCAAGUCGAACGGCAGCACGGGAGCAAUCCUGGUGGCGAGUGGCGAACGGGUGAGUAAAGUAUCGGAACGUGCCCAGUCGUGGGGGAUAACGUAGCGAAAGUUACGCUAAUACCGCAUACGAUCUAUGGAUGAAAGCGGGGGAUCGCAAGACCUCGCGCGAUUGGAUCGGCCGAUAUCAGAUUAGGUAGUUGGUGGGGUAAAGGCCCACCAAGCCGACGAUCUGUAGCUGGUCUGAGAGGACGACCAGCCACACUGGGACUGAGACACGGCCCAGACUCCUACGGGAGGCAGCAGUGGGGAAUUUUGGACAAUGGGCGAAAGCCUGAUCCAGCCAUGCCGCGUGCAGGAUGAAGGCCUUCGGGUUGUAAACUGCUUUUGUACGGAACGAAAAGGACUGCCCUAAUACGGUGGUCCCAUGACGGUACCGUAAGAAUAAGCACCGGCUAACUACGUGCCAGCAGCCGCCGCAG
rnacentral:rRNA from 1 species